rnacentral:rRNA from 1 species
GAUGAACGCUGGCGGCGUGCCUAAUACAUGCAAGUCGAGCGAACAGACGAGGAGCUUGCUCCUCUGACGUUAGCGGCGGACGGGUGAGUAACACGUGGAUAACCUACCUAUAAGACUGGGAUCACUUCGGGAAACCGGAGCUAAUACCGGAUAAUAUAUUGCACCGCAUGGUUCAAUAGUGAAAGACGGCUUUUCUGUCACGUAUAGAUGGAUCCGCGCCGCAUUAGCUAGUUGGUAAGGUCACGGCUUACCACGGCAACGAUGCGUAGCCGACCUGAGAGGGUGAUCGGCGACACUGGAACUGAGACACGGUCCAGACGCCUGCGGGAGGCAGCAGUAGGGAAUCUGCCGCAAUGGGCGGAAGCCUGACGGAGCAACGCCGCGUGAGUGAUGAAGGUCUUCGGAUCGUAAUACUCUGUUAUUAGGGAAGAACAAAUGUGUAAGGAACUAUGGACGUCUUGACGGUACCUGAUCAGAAAGCCACGGCUAACUACGUG